UUAUGGCCAUAUCACAUUGAAACACCGGUUCCCAUAUGAUCACCGAAGUUAAGCAACAUUGAGCCUGGUCAAUACGUAGAUGGGUGAUUGCUUGAGAAUACCAAGUGCUAUA